CGAAUGCUGACAUAAGUAACGAUAAAGCGGGUGAAAAGCCCGCUCGCCGGAAGACCAAGGGUUCCUGUCCAACGUUAAUCGGGGCAGGGUGAGUCGACCCCUAAGGCGAGGCCGAAAGGCGUAGUCGAUGGGAAACAGGUUAAUAUUCCUGUACUUGGUGUUACUGCGAAGGGGGGACGGAGAAGGCUAUGUUGGCCGGGCGACGGUUGUCCCGGUUUAAGCGUGUAGGCUGGUUUUCCAGGCAAAUCCGGAAAAUCAAGGCUGAGGCGUGAUGACGAGGCACUACGGUGCUGAAGCAACAAAUGCCCUGCUUCCAGGAAAAGCCUCUAAGCAUCAGGUAACAUCAAAUCGUACCCCAAACCGACACAGGUGGUCAGGUAGAGAAUACCAAGGCGCUUGAGAGAACUCGGGUGAAGGAACUAGGCAAAAUGGUGCCGUAACUUCGGGAGAAGGCACGCUGAUAUGUAGGUGAGGUCCCUCGCGGAUGGAGCUGAAAUCAGUCGAAGAUACCAGCUGGCUGCAACUGUUUAUUAAAAACACAGCACUGUGCAAACACGAAAGUGGACGUAUACGGUG
rnacentral:rRNA from 1 species